rnacentral:snRNA from 1 species
AUACUUACCUGGCAGGCAAGAUACCAUGAUCACAAAAGUGGUUUUCAUGGGGUGAGGAUCAUCCAUUGUACUCCAGGUGUGCUGACUCCUGCAAUUUCCCCUAAUUUGUGAUAGUGGAGGACUGUAUUUGCACUUUACCCUG